rnacentral:rRNA from 1 species
GACGAACGCUGGCGGCGUGCUUAACACAUGCAAGUCGAACGGAACGGUCCGGCUUUGGUGGGGUGCUCGAGGUGCGAACGGGUGAGUAACACGUGAGUUACCUGUCCCUGACUGUGGGAUAACUUCAGGAAGCUGGGGGUCAUACCGGCUAGGAGCUCCUGCUGUAUGGUGGGGGUUGGAAGGUUUCGGCGGUUGGGCAUGGACUCGCGGCCUAUCAGCAUGUUGGUGUGGUAGUGGCUUAGCAAGGCUUUGCCGGGUAGCCGGCCUGAGAGGGUGACAGUGCACAUUGAGACUGAGAUACGGCCCAGACUCCGACGGGAGGCAGAAGUAGGGGAGAGGGCACAAGGGGCGGAAGCGUGAUGCAGAUACGCCGCGGGCGGGAUAACGGCCAUCGCGUUGGAAACCGAUUUCUCCUGUGACCAAGCGGGAAAGGAGGUAAUGGGUAGAGAAGCACCGGCUUACUACGUG